UCAUAUCUAAGGAAAAUACAUUAACAUUACCUGCAUUAUUUCACAAUACGACUAGUUGUAUAACCGGGGGUUAAAUAAGGAAAUUCCUAUUCAUUUUCAACAUUGUAUGCAUAUUUCUUCUUGGAUUGCCGGAAUAGGGAUAAUAACGUCAAAAUGGAAUGUGUCAACACUGAGGUACAGGUAGUUCUAAGACAAAACUGAAGGAGGAACUGUUUGAGUCAGAAAGAAGAAAUCCUACACCUAUUAAUAAGACGCAAGAAAUAAGCACAAUAAACAAAACAGUUAUUCCACCCAGUGGUCUUCUACAUCUACAAACUCAAACUUUAGAUGACGAAAAAGAAUGCAAACAACAAAAGCAACGCAGAAAAAAGAGUAGAAAUUAUUUGAACGCCAUAGCAAACAAAACAGGUGGAACGGAUACCUACAACAUCGAAGGUGUUAGUGCAGACGAGAUUUUGGAAUUUGUUAUCACAAUAUUUGAAAGUGGCUGCACAUUUGAAGAUUUUUUAUUACAAUGUAACCUUUUCCCCUCUUCUGCUGAUAUUCCAAGGUGGUUUGAAACGCAUAUGAUGCAGUUUCAUCUUUUCAAAAAAAUGAAAAGAUAGAAUACAUACUAGUAUUACCAUUUGUAAAAACCGCUGGCGUUUGUUCUCUUUAUAAUAAUCGUCAAUAUCCUGGUAAAUGUGAUUAUGCCAACUGUCACUUCUUCCAUGUUUGUCACCGGUUUGUCAGAAACAUAUAUUGCAAUUUCAAAGGUUGCAGGCUAGCUCAUGAUUUUACAAAUCAGCACAAUAGUCGACUCAAAGUACGAUUUGGAUUAGAGAAUUUUAGCGAAAACCAAAUUAAAAGGGUCCUUAAUAAUCAUUUCCCAUCCAUCUGUAGGGACUAUAAUUUUCUUUAAAAAUGCAAGGUUGGUAAGAAAAAAUGUGUCAAAUUACAUUUAUGUGGUGCAUAUAAAUUCGGAAAAUGUGAAGAACCAUGCAAAUACAAACGAACUCAUAAACUCAAUAACGAUCAUAAUAAAUGGGUUCUCAGAGCAUUUGAGAUGAGGAGCUGGCCAGAAGAAAAAAUCUUGAAAAACAUCUACGUUCCACCUAAAAGAGUUCCCAGUUAUCCGAAUAAUGAUAAACGUGACUUGGACCAAUACAAAUACAUUGACGACGAUGAUGACGAUUUAUACAAAGGUAGCGAUUUUAUUGACAUGGAUGAGAAUUUGAUUCAACAGAAGGCUGAUAGUAGUGAUGGAAACUCGGAUGAAGACGAAUCGGAUAAACUUCCUAUUUGUUGAUCGAUGAUAUUGUGAAAUGUUCUGUGUAUUUUUUGCUGUUAUUGAACAAAUGUUCUGUUAUUCAUUUCAGCUCAUUAUUUUUUGUUCUCUCGGAUAAUUAUUUUGUUUCUGUUUUGCUCAUGUAGCUCGUUUACUAUUGCAGUGCUUAUGUAUCAUUGGCUUUCAAAUAUUCGGCUUUGAGCGUUCUUGAUGAAGUUAAAUCCAGAAAGUGCUUCGUACUCCUGAAAUUGAUAAAGUGUGUUUUUAUUUUAUUUUUCUUCCUAUGUGUUGUUUUAUCGUUUAUCGUUUAUCACAAAUGUAAUUUCUUGAAUCCCUAUUUGUUGAUCUCGUUGUAUCUUGGGCAUCUUUUUAUUUUUUUUUCUUUCUUUAGUCUCUGCAUGUUAUGCUUUUUUCAAAUUAUGUUUAUUUUCAACUUAUAAAGUGGUCAAACCAUACUUGUUUGCAAUAGGUGUGUCAUGUUAGGUAAAUAUAGACAGUUUAAUAACAACACGAGUGAAGUGUGGUGGAAUUUUUCAGUUGUCUUAUUAGGUAAUGGUGUUAUGUGAAUAUUAUAUAAAACAUGUUGAUAUUUCACUUUAUAAUAUGUUUCACAAUAAACAGGUUGUACAUACAAAUA